UACAGAGGUCUCAAGCGUUGAUCGGAUUCAUUGGGCGUAAAGGGUGCGUAGGUGGCGAGGUAAUUCUGGGGUGAAAUCUCGGGGCUCAACCCCGAAACUGCACUGGAUACUGCCUUGCUCGAGUACUGGAGAGGAGAUUGGAAUUUACGGUGUAGCAGUGAAAUGCGUAGAUAUCGUAAGGAAGACCAGUGGCGAAGGCUAAGCUCUGGACAUUUACUGACACUGAGGCACGUAGGCCAGGGGAGCAAACGGG
rnacentral:rRNA from 1 species